GCGGAAAAAUUACGAGUUUAC
rnacentral:snRNA from 1 species